rnacentral:lncRNA from 1 species
CAGUCUCUUUCAGGGUAAAACCCACAGCAAGAGGUGAUGGUGGUAGAAGGGGAGUUAAGUCAGGGCAGGAAGUUUGAAUAAGACAGGAUAUAAAGGUGAGGGGUUAGGAGGAGGAGGAGUUGGAGAUGGAAGGGAGAAGACCUCCAUAGUCUUUUUAAAUUCAGAAAUAGUGUCAGAUAUCCUUUUGUUUACCUCCUGAAUGCAGUCAAUUUUGUUACAAUUUCUUUUAGAAGCUUCUAGGUGCCAUUGAAUGGGUGCUCCCAUCAAUUUGUCAUGUUCUAAAACUAGUUUUUUUCAAUUAUGCACACAAAUAAAUUAUUUUAGGACUUCAAAGGACCCUCAUUUCAGCCAUUGCUGCUUAUGACCAUCCUGGAUUAUGUGGGCUCAUUUUCUUUAGAUAUUUAUAAGAAGAUGCCCCGUAAGUGUUAUACACAGAACCAGCUUGUAUUUCUAAAGAAGACUGUCCUGUAAAAGAGUGCUCAGAUUCUGAAGGUUGAUUUCCUAUAAUUUAGGAACUUUUCAAAAGUGACCAAGGCCAGAAAUGUGUUUUGGGUCAAAGGGUGCUGCUCAUGAGCAUCACUCCUCCAAGUGUCAUCAAAGAGUCUUGGAUCACUCUCUUACGUGUCUCAAAAUAUCUGAUUGCCUUGUGGUGGCAGUGUGUUCAAGGUGCCAGGUGAUCAACCCUUAUGUGCACCUUCUGGUUGAGCUGAAAGUUGCAAUAGGUGUUCUUGUGGGGAAGCCCUAUAAAACCACUACUUGUCAUGGACGAACAAUCUGUCACUUUCAAAAAAUCUCUUGCCACCAGAUGCCAAUUGGAUUAAAUUGUUAAUUAGUUGGAGGGAGCAAGUGUCUCUUAAUUUUGGGGUGAGAGAAUUCACUCUCAUGCACCUUUUGGUUUGAAACUAACAAAAAUUGGUCAUAACUGAAAAGACACAUUUGAAUCAUAAUCAAGAGGAAGGAGCUGUAAUUUUUAAAACAUGCUAUGUAAUUUUAGACCAAAAGUAGUGCAACCACCAGUGCUAGACUGCACUGGUGACCCAGACCUUCUGCUAUGAGGCAGAGGCAGAGAAGGUAAAAGUUCUCUUUUAUCUUGAAAUCCAAAUCUCCUGACCUUAGAUAGAGAUGGAAAGCCCCAUUCUUGGAAGGGAGAUCUGAGAAAAACAGCUCACGCAAACACUAGACCUCAGCCUCAGGGUAGGAAGGUCCGAAUUCAGGACUCAUAUACACGUGACAAUGCUCUUAGAUCUGGAAAAACACAAGAGGCUCCAGCUGAACAGGUGCUGAAUCCAAGAGGACUGUCAAAUUGUUGAGGUCGGGGCUUGCUCUGAAUCCUGCUCAUAGUGCCAGGAAUGUUGGCUUAAAGGAAAAAAAGUGAGGCACAAAAUAUAAUUUUGAAGAGUUUACUUGAGCCAAAAUGAGACUGCUGCCUGGAAGACUCAGACCCAAGUAAUCUUGGAUAUGAACUCCAUUUGGCCUUUGUUACAAGCAGGUUUUUAAAAGCAAAAAUCAGGGACAAAGAGUUGGCUUAUACAAAGUUUUUUGUCAGGAAUUCUCAUUGGUUUACAGAAAUAACAUUGAUUAGUGAUACUGGCUAUAUGUUGUAUAAAUUAUGGUGUCUAGCAUUGAUAGAUUAAUUUAUAGCUACUUGUGAUUUUAACAAGUAGUUUCAAGAGCAGAUUACUUAGUCUAAAGGGGAUAAUGGGACAUGACCUCUGUUUCAUUCCAUUGCCUCUCUGGGCCUGAUAAUUUAGAGGAGACUGGCAUUCCUCAAAUAAAAGAGUUUUUUUUUUUUUCUCAAUACUUCUAACACAAAACAUGACAGGGAGGUUUCUCCCACACCAACCAAUUAUCUGACACCAGCUCGGUGUUCAAAAACUUAAUUCAAUUCUAAAAAUAACUACCUGAGUUAGUGUCAGAUUCACAAAUUUAAGGGUUCAGUCCCACAAGACUGCCCCAACUUCAGAUGCCAGUCACAAGCCCUGGGUCACCUGUACUUCCAACCAACUGGCUAUAAAUUAGGGAUUCUUAUGACUCCCCUCUCAGGUUAAUAUUUUGCUAGAAUGGCUCACGGAACUCAAGGAAAUACUUUACUGUUAUAAAGGAUAAGACUAAGGAACAACCAGAUGAAAGAGGUGCAUAGGGCAAUGUAUGGGGAGGAGAUGUGAAGCUUCCAUGCCUGUUCCAGGAGUACCACCCUCCCAGAACCUUGAUGUGUUCACCAACCUGGAAGCUUAUCAAAUCUCCUUGUUCGACAGUUUUUAUAGAGUUCAAUAUUGAGCCUCCCCUAUUCUCCUCUUCCAGAAAGUCAGUGGGUGGGACUUGAAGUUUCAACCCUUGAAUUACUUGGGCUAUUUCUUAAUUAUUUGGGCUAUAGCCCAUACUGAGGCUAUCUAGUGGGCUCACUCUAAGUCACCAAAUUAGCAUAAACUGAGGUAUGAUCAAAGGGACUUAUUAGGAAUAACAAAAAAGACACCCCUAUAACUCAGAAAAUCCCAAGGGUUUUAGGAGCUCUGUGUCAGAAGCAACAGAUGAAGACCAAAUAUAUAUUUGUUAUAUCACAGUAUCACAUUCACUAAUUGGGAUCCUCAGGAAGGAGCACUCUGAUAUGAAGAAGAGUAUGCAGAAAGUUUAUCGUAGAAUGUUUGCUAGAUGAACACCUGUGGAAGGGAAGAGAAGGGAAGGAAAAGAAACUAGAUAAGACAAAGAAAGAAGUUAAUAUGUGAUGGAUGCAUCCCAACAAAGACCUUACUCAGCAAAGGCAUGAGGAAUUUAUACACCCCAUUGACAAGCAUUGACUGUAGGAUGUUCCAGAAUCUGGGUGUUUUGACCCUGUACAAGGCAGCUUUCUUCAACCAAGAGCA